UUAGUACUCCUUCCGUCCCAAAAUUCUUGUCUUAAAUUUGUCUAGAUACGGAUGUACAAGUCACAUUUUAGUAUUGGUUACAUCCGUAUUUAGACAAAUAUAAAACAAGAAAUUUGAGACAGAGAGAGUACAUA
rfam:Triticum urartu cultivar G1812 contig404590, whole genome shotgun sequence.